UGUGAACUCGAAGAGUAGGGCGGGACACGUGGUAUCCUGUCUGAAUAUGGGGGGACCAUCCUCCAAGGCUAAAUACUCCUGACUGACCGAUAGUGAACCAGUACCGUGAGGGAAAGGCGAAAAGAACCCCGGCGAGGGGAGUGAAAAAGAACCUGAAACCGUGUACGUACAAGCAGUAGGAGCCUCUUUAUGGGGUGACUGCGUACCUUUUGUAUAAUGGGUCAGCGACUUAUAUUCUGUAGCAAGGUUAACCGUAUAGGGGAGCCGCAGGGAAACCGAGUCUUAACUGGGCGUUAAGUUGCAGGGUAUAGACCCGAAACCCGGUGAUCUAGCCAUGGGCAGGUUGAAGGUUGGGUAACACUAACUGGAGGACCGAACCGACUAAUGUUGAAAAAUUAGCGGAUGACUUGUGGCUGGGGGUGAAAGGCCAAUCAAACCGGGAGAUAGCUGGUUCUCCCCGAAAGCUAUUUAGGUAGCGCCUCGUGAACUCAUCUUCGGGGGUAGAGCACUGUUUCGGCUAGGGGGUCAUCCCGACUUACCAACCCGAUGCAAACUACGAAUACCGAAGAAUGUUAUCACGGGAGACACACGGCGGGUGCUAACGUCCGUCGUGAAGAGGGAAACAACCCAGACCGCCAGCUAAGGUCCCAAAGUCAUGGUUAAGUGGGAAACGAUGUGGGAAGGCCCAGACAGCCAGGAUGUUGGCUUAGAAGCAGCCAUCAUUUAAAGAAAGCGUAAUAGCUCACUGGUCGAGUCGGCCUGCGCGGAAGAUGUAACGGGGCUAAACCAUGCACCGAAGCUGCGGCAGCGACACUAUGUGUUGUUGGGUAGGGGAGCGUUCUGUAAGCCGUUGAAGGUGGCCUGUGAGGGUUGCUGGAGGUAUCAGAAGUGCGAAUGCUGACAUAAGUAACGAUAAUGCGGGUGAAAAACCCGCACGCCGGAAGACCAAGGGUUCCUGUCCAACGUUAAUCGGGGCAGGGUGAGUCGACCCCUAAGGCGAGGCCGAAAGGCGUAGUCGAUGGGAAACAGGUUAAUAUUCCUGUACUCGGUGUUACUGCGAAGGGGGGACGGAGAAGGCUAUGUUGGCCGGGCGACGGUUGUCCCGGUUUAAGCAUGUAGGCGGAUGUUCCAGGUAAAUCCGGAACGUUACUAACGCUGAGGUGUGAUGACGAGGCACUACGGUGCUGAAGUGACAAAUGCCCUGCUUCCAGGAAAAGCCUCUAAGCAUCAGGUAACAUCAAAUCGUACCCCAAACCGACACAGGUGGUCAGGUAGAGAAUACCAAGGCGCUUGAGAGAACUCGGGUGAAGGAACUAGGCAAAAUGGUGCCGUAACUUCGGGAGAAGGCACGCUGAUAUGUAGGUGAAGUGGUUUACCCAUGGAGCUGAAAUCAGUCGAAGAUACCAGCUGGCUGCAACUGUUUAUUAAAAACACAGCACUGUGCAAACACGAAAGUGGACGUAUACGGUGUGACGCCUGCCCGGUGCCGGAAGGUUAAUUGAUGGGGUUAUCCGUAAGGAGAAGCUCUUGAUCGAAGCCCCGGUAAACGGCGGCCGUAACUAUAACGGUCCUAAGGUAGCGAAAUUCCUUGUCGGGUAAGUUCCGACCUGCACGAAUGGCGUAAUGAUGGCCAGGCUGUCUCCACCCGAGACUCAGUGAAAUUGAACUCGCUGUGAAGAUGCAGUGUACCCGCGGCAAGACGGAAAGACCCCGUGAACCUUUACUAUAGCUUGACACUGAACACUGGUCCUUGAUGUGUAGGAUAGGUGGGAGGCUUUGAAG
rnacentral:rRNA from 1 species